GGGGAUUUGGCUCAGUGGUAGAGCGCUUGCCUAGGAAGCACAAGGUCCUGGGUUCGGUCCCCAGCCCG
rnacentral:tRNA from 1 species